UACGUAGGGUGCGAGCGUUGUCCGGAAUUACUGGGCGUAAAGAGCUCGUAGGUGGUUUGUCGCGUUGUCCGUGAAAACUCACAACUCAAUUGUGGGCGUGCGGGCGAUACGGGCAGACUGGAGUACUGCAGGGGAGACUGGAAUUCCUGGUGUAGCGGUGGAAUGCGCAGAUAUCAGGAGGAACACCGGUGGCGAAGGCGGGUCUCUGGGCCUUACCUGACGCUGAGGCGCGAAAGCUAGGGGAGCGAACAGG
rnacentral:rRNA from 1 species